UUAGCCUGCGCCGCACUGGUCCUGCUCAGCCACGCCGACACCAUCGCUGGUGAAGGCGGAGAUAACCAGACCAGCGCUGGCAACAUCGAGGGCGAUGAAGUGAAGGAAGUACCAGUCUGCGUUGAGCCCUGGAGCUACGAGGGCAGUGCAGGCCCCGGGAAUUGGACAAGUCUUGGCUUUGCGGACUGCACCGGGUUGAGGCAGUCUCCUAUCGAAAUCGUCACGUGCGACUGCAUCCGCUCGAAAAUUCGACGCCUCAGACUGAGGCGCUUUGACAAGGCCCCGGAAAAGAUGACGCUAAGGAACACACUUAACAGCGUCCGUGCGAGCUUGACAUGGGAUGACGACGAAGAUCGACCUCUGGUCAGGGGCGCUGGUCUUCCUGGUAGGUUCGAGGUGGUUGGACUGAACUUCCACUGGGGUGAGAACAACUCUAUCGGCUCAGAUCACGUCAUAGAUUCUUCCAGCCGCGACUACCGUCAUCAUGACAACCACCGUGCGCACCUCUACUGUUGCGAUUAAAAGAACGUUUGUGUUUGGUCCAGGGCGCAAG